AUUGAACGCUGGCGGCAUGCUUUACACAUGCAAGUCGAACGGUAACAGGGAGCUUGCUCCGCUGACGAGUGGCGAACGGGUGAGUAAUGCGUCGGAACGUGCCGAGUAGUGGGGGAUAACGCAUCGAAAGGUGUGCUAAUACCGCAUACGUACUGAGGUAGAAAGUGGGGGACCUUCGGGCCUCACGCUAUUCGAGCGGCCGACGUCUGAUUAGCUAGUUGGUGGGGUAAAGGCUCACCAAGGCGACGAUCAGUAGCUGGUCUGAGAGGACGACCAGCCACACUGGAACUGAGACACGGUCCAGACUCCUACGGGAGGCAGCAGUGGGGAAUUUUGGACAAUGGGCGAAAGCCUGAUCCAGCCGUUCCGCGUGAGUGAAGAAGGCCUUCGGGUUGUAAAGCUCUUUCGCAAGGGAAGAAAACUUAAGCUCUAACAUAGCUUGAGGUUGACGGUACCUUGAUAAGAAGCACCGGCUAACUACGUGCCAGCCGCCGCGGUAACAC
rnacentral:rRNA from 1 species